CCAACAAGUGUUCAUAUAACCAAUGCAAAGAAGAAGAAAUUAGAAGUUCUUUAUGACCUGCUUGGUAGUUCACAAGUAGCUUCUCUAAGGCAACGAGUAGCUCACAUAGCUAACCCAGUGUUUGAAUUCUCUGUGUUUUUUUGCACAAUAAUCCAUUUGGAUUUACUAUCAAGCACAAAUCCCAUGGAUUUUCUAUUCAACCCCUCAUAUGAUACGAAAUUGUUGAGGGAAAGGUUCAGGGAUUGUGCACGGAGAUGUGAAGCCAAACUUCAUGGAGAGGGAAGCUACCAUGUUCUCCAAAGCAUACACCGCACCAGGGAGACCAAAAACAUCAGGAGCUUUCUCACCUCUAUGAUAAGCCAUGCUUUUUGGGAUCGCUAGCUGUUCAGGCUCCUCAAGUCCCC